ACUUCCGGUUGCGAGUGGCGCGAAUUGCUCUUCCUUCGUCAUUUCAAUUCUUUCAGAAACAGAAUAAAAAAAACAAGAAAAUGAAGCUCUGAGAUGAAAGAGGAACCCCAUUGGAGCAGAACGCAGUCAUGAUGUUUUCAGCUGCUGGUUUGCCUGGAAGCUUUGCUCCUUUUUCUCUGUAAAGGAUGAAGCAGAGAUGUUCUUCACGUCCACUUUUUCCAGAGCGACUGCGGUUCGAUUCCCGGCUCCUCCCUGCAGCAGGGCCAUCGCCGAUGCUGAGAGUUUUAUCCUUCCAGGCGAGCAGAUGAAGCCCACGCCGAUGCUCGUGUGCUGCAACACCCACCUCAGGGCCCGCCGGCAAAACCCCUUCUUCUCUGCUUCAAGUCGGCGCCGAGGCUCCACAGGUUCUGCUCACGACCGCUCAGGUAUGACGCAACCUGCAGAGCACGCUGCCAUCAUGCAAGCCUCCAACUUUCAGGCUUGGAUCCGUCUUAAAUCAGAGGAUCGUUGAGUCAUUUUUACUUUACUGAUCUCCUGAUUUGUCUAUUUAUAAAUAAAGAUACACGACAAUAAAAGAAGAACAACGUUUUUUAUGAGGCCAAUGCAUCAUUUCCAUACCAUAAAAUGGAAAUGAAUCCUUUUCAGCGAGCAGGAGGGUCUGUGAAGCAGACGUGGGCGUCUCCACGCACGUCUGCAGAUGCUCUCCUCUCUGUGAUCCAGAGGGAGUUUGCUGUUCAGGGUUUCUGCUGAGUCAUGACUUCUCCUCCUGUUAACGUUGAUGUGCAGCGUGCCGCUGGCUGGCGAAGGUCCACGUCCUUCUGUUGUCCCACUUCUUCAAAUUGUUGGUGUUUUUUUUUUUUAUGUUUACCGCGGCCUCGCCAUUGAUCACG